rnacentral:rRNA from 1 species
CACCGGAGCUUGCUCCACCGGAAAAAGAAGAGUGGCGAACGGGUGAGUAACACGUGGGUAACCUGCCCAUCAGAAGGGGAUAACACUUGGAAACAGGUGCUAAUACCGUAUAACAAUCGAAACCGCAUGGUUUUGAUUUGAAAGGCGCUUUCGGGUGUCGCUGAUGGAUGGACCCGCGGUGCAUUAGCUAGUUGGUGAGGUAACGGCUCACCAAGGCCACGAUGCAUAGCCGACCUGAGAGGGUGAUCGGCCACAUUGGGACUGAGACACGGCCCAAACUCCUACGGGAGGCAGCAGUAGGGAAUCUUCGGCAAUGGACGAAAGUCUGACCGAGCAACGCCGCGUGAGUGAAGAAGGUUUUCGGAUCGUAAAACUCUGUUGUUAGAGAAGAACAAGGAUGAGAGUAACUGUUCAUCCCUUGACGGUAUCUAACCAGAAAGCCACGGCUAACUACGUGCCAGCAGCCGCGGUAAUACGUAGGUGGCAAGCGUUGUCCGGAUUUAUUGGGCGUAAAGCGAGCGCAGGCGGUUUCUUAAGUCUGAUGUGAAAGCCCCCGGCUCA